ensembl:lncRNA
CAUAGCUAAUAUAUUCAGUUUUCAUUAGAUUAAUGCACAUUUGAGAAAGCCCAUUCUGAAAAGCCUAGAAAGUGAAAAGUUAAAAAAGAAAACAGGAUUAAACCAAUUAUGAACUUUAGGAAGGAACCUAGUCCUUUACCAGAUUUUAUUCCUUCAGUCUUCCCCUAGAUUUUCUUUUAACUUUAGCUGUUCAGAACUUCCUCAGAUGUUUCUGCACUCAAAAUAUAGUUUAUGCCUUUGAAGAGAUCAUAUUAUAAUGGUACAGUAACCAAAUGGAAUUAUUUUAAAGUGACAUUAAUAAACCAUAGCUAAGAUGGCAGGAAACGGGAAUGCUCACAAGCUUUUGAAGGCAGGAUAUCUAAGAAGCUUGUAGGAAACUUUGAGAUUUGUUGGACAUGACUACCACAGAUCUGUAUUUUGAGCUACUGCAAUGUACGGUAGGACAAACAAAAGCAGCUCUUUUGGUUUAGUACAAAGCCUUUUCCUGUCAGACAAUGAGGCUCUGACCACCUGCUGACUGGAGUCUGUGCAGUUUUCAUUGCUUCACAGGGGGCUGCAGACAUGGCUCAGGGGUGAAGAGCAUUAUCUGUUCUCGCAGAGCAUCCGUGUUCAGUU